UAAGGAUGGGCCUGCGGCGCAUUAGCUCGUUGGUAAGGUAACGGCUUGCCAAGGCGACGAUGCGUAGCCGACCUGAGAGGGUGAUCGGCCACACUGGAACUGAGACACGGUCCAGACUCCUACGGGAGGCAGCAGUAGGGAAUCUUCCGCAAUGGGCGAAAGCCUGACGGAGCAACGCCGCGUGUGCGAAGAGGGUCUUCGGAUCGUAAAGCACUGUUGUUAAGGAAGAACGACAGUAAGAGUAACUGCUUACUGUGUGACGGUACUUAACCAGAAAGCCACGGCUAACUACGUGCCAGCAGCCGCGGUAAUACGUAGGUGGCAAGCGUUAUCCGGAAUUAUUGGGCGUAAAGCGCGCGUAGGCGGCGAGAUUAGUCUGAUGUGAAAGCCCCCGGCUCAACCGGGGAAGGUCAUUGGAAACUGUUUCGCUUGAGUGCAGAAGAGGAGAGUGGAAUUCCAUGUGUAGCGGUGAAAUGCGCAGAGAUAUGGGGGAACACCAGUGGCGAAGGCGGCUCUCUGGUCUGCAACUGACGCUGAUGUGCGAAAGCGUGGGGAUCAAACAGGAUUAGAUACCCUGGUAGUCCACGCCGUAAACGAUGAGUGCUAAGUGUUAGGGGGUUUCCGCCCCUUAGUGCUGCAGCAAAC
rnacentral:rRNA from 1 species